rnacentral:rRNA from 1 species
GACGAACGCUGGCGGCGUGCUUAACACAUGCAAGUCGAACGGAAAGGCCCUGCUUUUGUGGGGUGCUCGAGUGGCGAACGGGUGAGUAACACGUGAGUAACCUGCCCUUGACUUUGGGAUAACUUCAGGAAACUGGGGCUAAUACCGGAUAGGAGCUCCUGCUGCAUGGUGGGGGUUGGAAAGUUUCGGCGGUUGGGGAUGGACUCGCGGCUUAUCAGCUUGUUGGUGGGGUAGUGGCUUACCAAGGCUUUGACGGGUAGCCGGCCUGAGAGGGUGACCGGCCACAUGGGGAUUGAUUUCCGGCCCGGACCCCGAGGGGGGCCAGCAGGGGGGAUUAUGGCAAAAGGGGGGGAAGCUGGAAGCAGCACCCCCGGGGGCGGGAUGACGGCUUCCGGUUUGUAACCCGCUUCCGCCUGGAACGAAGGGUGGGGGAGGGUAGGGGAUAGAGAGACCCGGGCUAGCUCCGUC